GGGGAUAUAGCUUAGUGGUAGAGCACUUGCCUAGCAUUCAGGAAACUCUGGGUUUGAUGCCUAGUUUCCCCC
rfam:Ictidomys tridecemlineatus contig112837, whole genome shotgun sequence.